rnacentral:rRNA from 1 species
UACGAAGGGGGCUAGCGUUGUCCGGAAUUAUUGGGCGUAAAGAGCGUGUAGGCGGUCCGGUAAGUCAGUUGUGAAAGUCAAGGGCUCAACCCUUGAAUGCCGGUUGAUACUGUCGGGCUAGAGUCCGGAAGAGGCGAGUGGAAUUCCCGGUGUAGCGGUGAAAUGCGCAGAUAUCGGGAGGAACACCAAUGGCGAAGGCAGCUCGCUGGGACGGUACUGACGCUGAGACGCGAAAGCGUGGGGAGCGAACAGG